GCUUAGAAGCAGCCAUCCUUUAAAGAAAGCGUAAUAGCUCACUGGUCUAGUGAUUCUGCGCGGAAAAUAUAACGGGGCUAAAAUGAGUACCGAAGCUUUAGACUUAGUUUUACUAAGUGGUAGGAGAGCGUUGUAUUUGCGUUGAAGGUAUACCGGUAAGGAGUGCUGGAGCGAAUACAAGUGAGCAUGCAGGCAUGAGUAGCGAUAAUUGGGGUGAGAAUCCCCAACGCCGUAAACCCAAGGUUUCCUACGCGAUGCUCGUCAUCGUAGGGUUAGCCGGGUCCUAAGCAAAGUCCGAAAGGGGUAUGCGAUGGAAAAUUGGUUAAUAUUCCAAUGCCAACUAUAAUGUGCGAUGGAAGGACGCUUAGAGUUAGAGGAGCCAGCGGAUGGUAGUGCUGGUCGAAAGGUGCAGGUUGGAGUUCAGGCAAAUCCGAACUCCUUUAAGCCGAGGCCUUACAGGUGCGUGAAGUUCUUCGGAAUGAAUCGUAAAUCCUUGAUACUGUCGAGCCAAGAAAAGUUUCUAAGUUUAGUUAUAGUUGCCCGUACCGUAAACCGACACAGGUGGGUGGGAUGAGUAUUCUAAGGCGCGUGGAAGAACUCUCUUCAAGGAACUCUGCAAAAUAGCACCGUAUCUUCGGUAUAAGGUGUGCCUAACUUUGUGAAGGAUUUACUCCGUAAGCAUUGAAGGUUACAACAAAGAGUCCCUCCCGACUGUUUACCAAAAACACAGCACUCUGCUAACUCGUAAGAGGAUGUAUAGGGUGUGACGCCUGCCCGGUGCUCGAAGGUUAAUUGAUGACGUUAGCUCUGCGAAGCGUUUGAUCGAAGCCCGAGUAAACGGCGGCCGUAACUAUAACGGUCCUAAGGUAGCGAAAUUCCUUGUCGAUUAAAUAUCGACCUGCAUGAAUGGCGUAACGAGAUGGGAGCUGUCUCGAAGAGGGAUCCAGUGAAAUUGUAGUGGAGGUGAAAAUUCCUCCUACCCGCGGCAAGACGGAAAGACCCCGUGGACCUUUACUACAGCUUGACACUGCUAUUGGGAUAAAAAUGUGCAGGAUAGGCGGGAGGCUUUGAUCCAUAGACGCCAGUUUAUGGUGAGCCAUUGUUGAGAUACCGCUCUUUUUUAUUCUGAUAGCUAACUAGCUUGAGUUAUCCUCAAGUAGGACAAUGUCUGGUGGGUAGUUUGACUGGGGCGGUCGCCUCCCAAAAUGUAACGGAGGCUUACAAAGGUUGGCUCAGAACGGUUGGAAAUCGUUCGUAGAGUAUAAAGGCAUAAGCCAGCUUAACUGCGAGACAUACACGUCAAGCAGAGACGAAAGUCGGUCUUAGUGAUCCGGUGGUUCUGUGUGGAAGGGCCAUCGCUCAAAGGAUAAAAGGUACCCCGGGGAUAACAGGCUGAUCUCCCCCAAGAGCUCACAUCGACGGGGAGGUUUGGCACCUCGAUGUCGGCUCAUCGCAUCCUGGGGCUGGAGCAGGUCCCAAGGGUAUGGCUGUUCGCCAUUUAAAGCGGUACGCGAGCUGGGUUCAGAACGUCGUGAGACAGUUCGGUCCCUAUCUGCCGUGGGCGCAAGAAGAUUGAGGAGAGUUGACCCUAGUACGAGAGGACCGGGUCGAACCAACCACUGGUGUACGAGUUGUCCUGCCAAGGGCACCGCUCGGUAGCUAUGUUGGGAUGUGAUAACUGCUGAAAGCAUCUAAGCAGGAAGCCAACUCCAAGAUGAAUCUUCUUUUAAGAGCUCAUAUAGACUAUGUGUUUGAUAGGCUGGGUGUGUAAUGGAUGAAAGUCCUUUAGCUGACCAGUACUAAUAGCUCGUCUGCUUAUCUU
rnacentral:rRNA from 1 species